rnacentral:rRNA from 1 species
UACGGGUGGUGCAAGUGUUAUUCCUCAUGACUAGGCGUAAAGGGUGCGUAGGAGGGCAGGUAAGUCAGUGGUGAAAUCUCCGAGCUUAACUUGGAACUGCCGUUGAUACUAUCUGUCUUGAAUACCGUGGAGGUGAGCGGAAUAUGUCAUGUAGCGGUGAAAUGCUUAGAUAUGACAUAGAACACCAAUUGCGAAGGCAGCUCACUACACGAAUAUUGACUCUGAGGCACGAAAGCGUGGGGAUCAAACAGG